GCCGGGGCACCGAGCGGACUGCUGGCACAUUCCUAGAGGCAGACAUGGCUGCUAGCUUCCGAGGUCUCAGUAGGGUUGUGGGGGUCUCUCCCCGCCUUGCUUGGAGACGAGUUCACUCAGAAGCUGGGGGACACGUGAAGGCCGAGUACGAUGCGGUGGUGAUAGGAGCAGGCAGCUACGGAACCUGUGCCAGGGCAGCCCCUCUCAAGGUUCUGCUGACUGAGGAGCCAGGGCGGCAGCCUGGGGAUGAGCCAAGCCUGCAGCCUAGGAUCUCCCAAGGCCGCAGGAGAGCUCUACUGGAACUUGGGAAGAUUCUGAGCUUUUGGACCCUUGCCAUGACACAAUGGGCUGGUGGCUGUGAGUACUUCCCUUUUGGCCCCAUGUCACUGGCCCUGGAGCCUGUGACUCCCAGCACGCUGAGCAACAGCAUGAGGAAGCAGGCAGGGUUAAGGCCCAGGACAGCUGUCCAUUCUCCCAGUACCCAUCUACAGCCAGUCAGGGAGGGUGUCACAGUUCCCUCUCUUGGCCUAUCCUAAGGCAUGUGGUCCCCCCAUGCCCUGUGGGCAGUCAGGGAGCAUUGAGAAGUGUGCUGAUGAAAAAUGGGAAGACAUACACAUAACUGGCCCAGAGGAAGUGGAUUAGAGCCUGAGGAUCAGGACCGGGGGCUAGAAGGGACUCUGACUCCAGGUUAAGGACUGUCCUUGUCUAGAGGGACUGUGCUCCCCAGCAAGAUUUAAGUGGUGUACCACCCAGAGCACAUAGUUGCCCUGUGUCCAAAGUGUGCCCUGGCAAGGUGAGGAGCCCCACCUCACAGAGGGGCCGGGGACCCUAUGCUAGCACAGCUGGCUUCUAGAUCCCACACUAGCUGGGCCAGAAUCACCCCCAAGCUGUGCUUCUCCCUGAGCCCAUACACCUCAAAGAGGCCACAGAACAAAUGUGGGCCAUCAUCUGAAAGCAGUGGCAGCUCUGGAAUAUCAAGAUAGGGAAACUUGGAGAAACAGUGAGAUGCCAAGGGACAUUUGCUAACCCUUAAUCCUUUGCCUGAUGCAUCGGUUUUAUUUGAACAUUCUACAAUAAUUUUAACUGGUUUUAUUAUUAAUGUAAACAUGGGUUUGUGUCCCAGCUCUACCACUUCUCUCUGUAAAGGUGAUUCAUAUGGCCUUUCUGGGCCACAGUAAAAUGGGAAUAACGGCUCCCACCUUGCAGAGAUGCUGUGAAGGUAACAGUGUGCAGCACAGACCUGGCAUGUUAAGCUUGUCACAAGUGGUGGCUCUUAUUGGAUGUGUUCAGCCCAGGGAAGGCUAGUGUCCUCCAAGGGGCACCAGGAUCACAGCUAUGGUUAUCCAAGUUGAGUUUCUUACUCAUUGCAGCAAGGGAGAAACACACUGGGGAAUCAUGGGGCAUCUCAGUAAGAAGCUGUCAGAAAGAACCUGGAACAGGAUUUGAGCUUUGGUUGGAUAAUUUAGGGGAAGCCCUGAGAAGGUAGAAGUUUUCACCAGAUUAGACACCGUCAGAAAGUAAGGAUGGCCCUUUGACUGGGAGUCUCUGUAAAUCUUGUCAAGGGAGCAGAGAUUAGAUGAGGACAUCAGUAAUUGGUGAAGAAAUAGCAAUUGUUCAUUUUGACUGAGAGGGAGUGUUUGAUAUUUUGUGGAUGGCACAGGACCUUGCUUUUGUUUGUGUUUAGACAAAACUGCAAUGGGCUUGUUGCAUCUCAUUUUAUCAUGGUCUCAGAGUAACUUUGUUCGAGGUUGUCAUUCUGUGAAACAGUUUAUAUCUAAUAGAUAGUGUGCUUAUGUCUGCAUGCCAGGCCGUUUUCCAAAUGUCAGAGACUGUCCUUGUUUGUUCCCAGUGGAUAUGUUAAGGUUAUAGAUCCUGGGGUUUAGACUGUCUGGGCUCACUUCCCAACAGCUCCACUCAUCAGCUCUGGGACCUGAAGCAAGCUGUUAACCUCAGUGAGCCUCAGUUUUCCCAUGUAUGAAAUGAAGAGAACUAUGGUGCUCAUUUUACCUCUAGGAUGGUAGAGUGGAUUAAAUGAGAUGUAGCCACAGUGUCUAGCAUAUAGUGGUUGUGAAGUGAACUUUUAAAAAAGUUUGACUUGUAAACUUCACUUUCCUUGUUGUCACAUUGGUUUUAGUAGUGGUGGGAAGGCUAGUACUAUAGAGUAGGACUGUAUGUCCAGGAUUAGCUCAAUUUAUUGAUUUUCCAUUAAGUGUUGGAGAAAACUAACAGAAGCCCCUGCAUCAUUUCUUCCCUUGGAAUAAAGUUCUGCUAUAGCCACAGCUUCAUUUAUUGCAUAUAUUAUGCCAGGGACCAUGUUAAGCCCCUGCUAGGGAGUAGCUCAGGUAAUCUUUACAGCAGCCCGAUGAAGUAGGUUAAGUUGGCACUAUUUCCAUUGGCCCCGUUUUUCCACAAGGAAACUGAGGUCAGUCAGAUAAAGUACUGGAGCUGCCUCAGCUAAAAGAGAAUGAGGAGUUGAACCUGGGGAGUCCGGUUCUGCAUCCUAAAGUUCAACCUCACCAUGCUGCUUCUUACUGUGCUUGCAGAAAGGAAAGAGGCUUGCUCCCACCUGGAAGAGAGGGACAUCAGGCAGGGUGGGCAGGAUGCAAUGUAAGUUCCCAAGACAGCCAGGCUUCUAAGGAGGCCUUCAGCUGGGACACAGAGGGAUCAGGAGCAGGCAUGUCUGAAAUUAGGAAACACCUUAACAGCACGAACCAAGGUGGGCAAGCUGGCUGGCCCUGCAGUGAGGACCCUGAGACCACUAGUCAGCCCUUGGGUCCCUGAGUUACAGAGAGAUAAGGGGAAGACCCUGUGUGCCCCCAGGCAGCGUACCUGCAGAGACUUGGGGUGAACACAGCAGUCUUCGAGAGGCGUCAUGUGAUCGGGGGUGCUGCUGUCACUGAGGAAAUCAUCCCAGGGUUUAAAUUCUCUCGAGCAUCCUACCUCCUCAGCCUGCUGAGGCCACAGAUUUACACUGACCUGGAGCUAAAGAAACAUGGGCUGAGGCUUCAUCUGCGAAAUCCCCAUUCCUUCACCCCCAUGCUGGAAGAGGGCACAGGGAGCAAGGUGCCUAGGUCCCUUCUGCUGGGCACAGACAUGGCAGAAAACCAGAAGCAGAUUGCCCAGUUCUCACAGAAAGAUGCCCAGGCCUUUCCCAGAUAUGAAGAGUACAUGAGCCGCUUGGUACUGGCCAUUGACCCUCUGCUGGAUGUAGCCCCUGUGGACAUGGUGGCCUUCCAGCAUGACUCUCUGUUGCAGAAGCUGAAGGCCCUGUCCACCCUCAAGCCCCUGCUGAAGGCAGGCUGCAUCCUGGGGGCCCAGCUUCCCCAGUACUACCAGGUCUUCACAGCUCCCAUUACUAAGGUGCUGGAUCAGUGGUUUGAGUCUGAGCCUCUAAAGGCCACUCUAGCAACAGAUGCUGUGAUUGGAGCCAUGACAAGUCCCCACACUCCGGGGAGUGGGUAUGUUCUGCUGCAUCAUGUGAUGGGAGGCCUGGAGGGAAUAAGGGGUGCCUGGGGCUAUGUCCAGGGUGGCAUGGGUGCCCUCUCUGAUGCCAUUGCAAGCUCAGCCACUGUGCAUGGUGCAAGUAUUUUCACUGAAAAGACAGUGGCUAAGGUACAAGUCAACAGUGAAGGCCGAGUUCAAGGAGUUGUACUACAGGAUGGCCUGGAGGUCAGGAGCAAAGUGGUGCUGUCCAGUGCAUCGCCUCAGGUCACCUUCCUGAAGUUGACGCCACAGGAGUGGCUUCCGGAGGCAUUCAUAGAGAGAAUCUCCCAGCUGAACACCCAGUCUCCUGUUACCAAGAUCAAUGUGGCUGUGGAUAGGCUGCCCAACUUUCUGGCAGCCCCUAAUGCUCCCAGAGGCCAGCCGCUUCCCCAUCACCAGUGCUCUAUCCACUUGAACUGUGAAAACACCCUUCUCCUCCAUCAGGCCUUUGAAGAUGCCAAGGGCGGCCUGCCUUCCCACAGGCCUAUGAUUGAGCUCUGCAUCCCUUCCUCGCUGGACCCCACACUGGCUCCUCCCGGGUGCCACGUCAUCUCCCUCUUCACCCAGUACACGCCCUACACUCUGGCGGGAGGCAAGAUCUGGGAUGAGCAGGAGAGAAAUGCUUACACAGACAAAGUAUUCGAAUGCAUCGAGGCCUAUGCCCCUGGCUUCAAGGGCUCUGUGGUGGGCAGAGACAUCCUCACCCCACCAGAUUUGGAGAGAGUCUUUGGGCUCCCUGGAGGGAACAUAUUCCACUGUGCAAUGUCCCUGGACCAGCUCUAUUUCGCCCGCCCGGUGCCACUGCACUCUGGGUACCGCUCCCCUCUCUGGGGCCUGUAUCUCUGUGGCAGCGGGGCCCAUCCUGCAACCAAGGGUAGCCACCAAGUGGAUUCAGCUAAGGCUGCACGGGAGCCUAGCACUGAAAACUCCAGAGCAUUCAGCCUCCUGCUUCCUAUAAGGUCUUGGAUCACAAGAGUGCAGCUGUGGUCCUAGCAAACAUUCCUUCCUACAGAAGAGGAACUGGGAUGUGGCCUGGGGAGGGGAAGAGCUGUUACAGCACCAGGAGGAAGAGUUUCCUACUGUUCUGUGAUUUCCCAUCAUGUGUCUGAACUCUCUGAAAGUUGCCUGUUUCCCGAAAGCAGGAGGGAACACUUCCUCUGAGGCAAGAUCCUGUGAGAAGCUGACAUGGCAGGAAGCUCACCUGGCUAAGUCAUUACAUCCUACAGCCAGCACUUCUGCACUGAUGGCCCUGGGAGAUGGAGACCAGAGGCUCAGUCACACCUGAGGUUUACAGCUCUGGGAGGGAUUCUGCCAUCCUAGUUGGAAAAAUGACAGAGGCGGCUGACCAGCUUCAGGCCUUGCAGUUUGCAGAGGAGUUGACAAGCACUGAAUUCUUCUGUUGGACAUUGAUGUCACACCCACAGUAAAGGCUGGAAUGCAGGAGUGGAGACAAGCAAGGCACAGGAGGGCAUUUGGUGGGGGUGUGAGGACGCAGGAAGUUACAGGAAGAAAUGCUAAAUGCAGGAGAGAGAGACAGACAGAAACCAAAAAAAAAAAAAAUUAACCUCAUGAG